UCCCUGGUGGCUUAGAGGGUAAAGCAUCUGCUUGCAAUGCAGAAGACCUGGGUU
rnacentral:tRNA from 1 species